UACGAAGGGGGCUAGCGUUGCUCGGAAUCACUGGGCGUAAGGGUGCGUAGGCGGGUCUUUUAAGUCAGGGGUGAAAUCCUGGAGCUCAACUCCAGAACUGCCUUUGAUACUGAGGAUCUUGAGUUCGGGAGAGGUGAGUGGACUGCGAGUGUAGAGGUGAAAUUCGUAGAUAUUCGCAAGAACACCAGUGGCGAAGGCGGCUCACUGGCCCGGUACUGACGCUGAGGUGCGAAAGCGUGGGGAGCAAACAGGG
rnacentral:rRNA from 1 species